AUUGAACGCUGGCGGCAGGCCUAACACAUGCAAGUCGAACGAGUGGCGGACGGGUGAGUAAUGUCUGGGAACCUGCCCGACGGAGGGGGAUAACUACUGGAAACGGUAGCUAAUACCGCAUACCAUCGGAUGUGCCCAGAUGGGAUUAGCUAGUAGGUGGGGUAACGGCUCACCUAGGCGACGAUCCCUAGCUGGUCUGAGAGGAUGACCAGCCACACUGGGACUGAGACACGGUCCAGACUCCUACGGGAGGCAGCAGUGGGGAAUAUUGGGCAAUGGGCGCAAGCCUGAUGCAGCAAUGCCGCGUGAAUGAAGAAGGCCUUCGGGUUGUAAAGUACUUUUAGCGGGGAGGCGUUACCCGCCGAGGAAGCACCGGCUAACUCCGUGCCAGCAGCCGCGGUAAUUC
rnacentral:rRNA from 1 species